GGCGGCGUAGCCAAGUGGUCUAAGGCGACGGUUUGCAAAACCGUUAUACGUCGGUUCGAAUCCGACCGCCGCCU
rnacentral:tRNA from 1 species